rnacentral:rRNA from 1 species
GACGAACGCUAGCUACAGGCUUAACACAUGCAAGUCGAGGGGAAACGAUAUUGGAAGCUUGCUUCCGAUAGGCGUCGACCGGCGCACGGGUGAGUAACGCGUAUCCAACCUGCCCACCACUUGGGGAUAACCUUGCGAAAGUAAGACUAAUACCCAAUGACGUCCAUAGAAGACAUCUGAAAUGGAUUAAAGAUUUAUCGGUGAUGGAUGGGGAUGCGUCUGAUUAGCUUGUUGGCGGGGUAACGGCCCACCAAGGCGACGAUCAGUAGGGGUUCUGAGAGGAAGGUCCCCCACAUUGGAACUGAGACACGGUCCAAACUCCUACGGGAGGCAGCAGUGAGGAAUAUUGGUCAAUGGGCGAGAGCCUGAACCAGCCAAGUAGCGUGCAGGAUGACGGCCCUAUGGGUUGUAAACUGCUUUUAUAAGGGAAUAAAGUAAGUCUCGUGAGACUUUUUGCAUGUACCUUAUGAAUAAGGACCGGCUAAUUCCGUGCCAGCCGCCGCCGUAA